rnacentral:lncRNA from 1 species
AAGACCUUUGGCCAACCCUACCUCGUCGGUGGGCUGCCCAGUCCUUGAGACUCGUGAGUGCUUUGCCAUUCUCUUCCUGAAGAUUUUUUUUUUUUCCUGAGAGCUGACAGAAUGAGACUUGCCCCCAGGUCGGUACCGAAUGCCUGGGUGAACAGUGAAAAUAUUCUUCUGCCCUCGAGAAAAUGACAACAAAACAAAACAAAACAAAAACUAGGAAAUGAACAACAGCUAAAUGACUCGAACCUUUGACGACCAUAGAUGUUGUAAUGAGUUGCAAUGGCUGAUUGGCAGGCUAACUGUGGGUAAAAUGACAGGUUCAUCACCAUCAAGGCGAGAACAUGGCAGCAUCCAGGUGGGCAUGGUGCAAGAGGAGCUGAAAGUUCUACAUCUUCAUUUGAAGGCUGCUAGCAGAAUACUGGCUUCCAGGAAGCUAGGAUGAGAAAGCCCACACUCACAGUGACACAUCUCCUCCAACAAGGUCACGCCUACUCCAACAGAGCCACAGCCAGCUCCCUGGGCCAAGCAUAGCCAAACCAUAACAUGAGCUUUGCACAGCAGUACCACUAAAGACUGGUGGAUUCUAUGGAGCAUCUGUACAAGAAAUUGAUAAGAAAAUGUUACCUUCAGCCAAACCAUAACAUGAGCUUUGCACAGCAGUACCACUAAAGACUGGUGGAUUCUAUGGAGCAUCUGUACAAGAAAUUGAUAAGAAAAUGUUACCUUCAGAGCUUUCCUAUCCCUUCUGCAGGGGGCUUACAGCUAAUUUGAGGGGAUAGGGUUCCCAGGAUUCUGUGUGUCAUUUGCCACUUGCGAUCAUUUCCCAUGUAUAUGGCAUGCCUGUUCAUAGACUUGUUAUACCUUGUGCCUACUCCUGACUGGUGAACUUUGAAUAGAAUGUGAAUAAGAUAUCUAUCCAUCUGAGUCCUAGCUAUAACACUGAAAUUGUAUCUUUCUCGAAGUUGCUCAAAGAUUCAGUGUUAGGUUGUAUUUUUCCCAAUGUAAAGUACAGAAGGAGUGAGCAGAGGAUUCAGAUAUGGAUCUGAUUGGUUUGAAAGUAUCGAAUAACUGUUGCACACAGUUUACGCUGGCUAGUUUUCUAUGAAUUUGACACAAGGUAGAGGCAUUUGAGAAGAGGGAACCUCAAUUGAGAAAAUGCUCCUAUCAUAGGUCAAGCACGUGGAGCAUUUUUGUUUGUUUGUUUGGUUUUGUUUUUCCAAGUCAGGGUUUCUCUGUGUAGCCCUGACUGUCCUGGAACUUGUUCUGUAGACCAGGCUGGCCUCAAACUCACAAAGAUCUGCUUGCCUCUGACUUCUAAGUGCUGGACCUAAAGGCCACCACCUCGCUCCUGCAUUUUCUUGAUUAAUGAUGGAUGGGCAAGCAUCCAGCACAUUGAAGGUAGUGCCACCCAUGGGCUAGUGGUCCUGGAGAGCAUAAGAAAUCAGGUUGAGCAAGCCACAUGAGCAAGCCAGUAAGCAGCACCCCUCCAUGGCCUUUGCUUCAGCUCCUCCCUCCAGGUUCCUGCCUUUAAUUUCUGCCCUGACUUCCCUAGAUGAAGGAUUAUAAACUGUAAAAUGCAAUAAACCUUUUCCUCCCCAAAUUGCUUUUGGUCAUGGUAUUGUUUGUUUGUUUGUUUUAUAAUAGUGGCAAGUACCAGAGAGAUGCAAUGUAAAGAAAU